CUGUCAAAGGGAUCGAGUAAG
rnacentral:piRNA from 1 species